UACGUAGGGUGCAAGCGUUGUCCGGAAUUAUUGGGCGUAAAGAGCUCGUAGGCGGUCUGUCGCGUCUGCUGUGAAAACUCAGGGCUUAACCCUGAGCUUGCAGUGGGUACGGGCAGACUAGAGUGCGGUAGGGGAGACUGGAAUUCCUGGUGUAGCGGUGAAAUGCGCAGAUAUCAGGAGGAACACCGGUGGCGAAGGCGGUUCUCUGGGCAUUACCUGACGCUGGAGACGCGAAAGCGUGGGGAGCGAACAGG
rnacentral:rRNA from 1 species